rnacentral:rRNA from 1 species
UAAUACGUAGGUGGCGAGCGUUGUCCGGAUUUACUGGGCGUAAAGCGCGCGCAGGCGGGCUGGUCAGUCCGGGGUGAAAUCUCACGGCUCAACCGUGAGCGGUCCCCGGAUACUGCCAGUCUUGAGGUGUCUAGAGGAGAGCGGAAUUCCCGGUGUAGUGGUGGAAUGCGUAGAUAUCGGGAAGAACACCAGUGGCGAAAGCGGCUCUCUGGGGACCACCUGACGCUGAGGCGCGAAAGCGUGGGGAGCGAACCGGAUUAGAUACCCGGGUAGUCCACGCCGUAAACGAUGAGCACUAGCUGUCGGGGGUAUCGACCCCCUCGGUAGCGCAGCUAACGCGAUAAGUGCUCCGCCUGGGGACUACGGCCGCAAGGCUA